UACGUAGGUGGCAAGCGUUGUCCGGAAUUAUUGGGCGUAAAGCGCGCGCAGGUGGUUUCUUAAGUCUGAUGUGAAAGCCCACGGCUCAACCGUGGAGGGUCAUUGGAAACUGGGGAACUUGAGUGCAGGAGAGAAGAGUGGAAUUCCACGUGUAGCGGUGAAAUGCGUAGAGAUGUGGAGGAACACCAGUGGCGAAGGCGACUCUUUGGCCUGUAACUGACACUGAGGCGCGAAAGCCAGGGGAGCAAACGGG
rnacentral:rRNA from 1 species